UUCGAACCUGGCUCAGAUUGAACGCUGGCGGGAUGCUUUACACAUGCAAGUCGAACGGCAGCACGGACGGUCUGGUGGCGAGUGGCGAACGGGUGAGUAAUGUAUCGGGAGACGUGUACCUAAUGCUUGAGGGGAUAACUACGCGAAAGCGUAGCUAAUACCACAUACGCCCUUCGAGGGAAAGCGGGGGGACCUUCGGGCCUCACACUAUUAGAGCGGCGACUCGGAUUAGCUAGUUGGUGGGGUAACGGCUCGCAAGGCGACAGUCAUAGCUGGUUUGAGACGACCAGCCACACUGGGACUGAGACACGGCCCAGACUCCUACGAGGCAGCGGUGAGGAAUUUUGGACAAUAGGGGAAACCUGAUCCAGCCAUCCCGCGUGUGCGAUGAAGGCCUUCGGGUUGUAAAGCACUUUUGGCAGGAAAGAAACGGCACGGGAUAAUACCCCGUGCAACUGACGACACCCUGCAGAAUAAGCACCGGCAACUACGUGCCAGCAGCCGCGGUAAUACGUAGGGUGCAAGCGUUAAUCAGGAAUUACUGGGCGUAAAGCGUGCGCAGGCGGUUCGGAAAGAAAGAUGUGAAAUCCCGAAACUGCUUUGGAGCUGCAUUUUUAACUACCGAGCUAGAGUGUGUCAGAGGGAGGUGGAAUUCCAGCGAUGUAGCGAAAUUGAAAAUGCGUGAAUGUGGAGGGACACCGAUGGCGAAGGCAGCCUCUGGGAUAACUUUCUGCUGACGCUCAUGCGAAAGCGUGGGGAGCAAACAGGAUUAGAUACCCUGUUAGUCCACGCCCUAAACGAUGUCAACUAGCUGUUGGGGCCUUCGGGCCUUGGUGGCGCAGCUAACGCGUAGUUGACCCUGGAGGAAAAUACGGUCACCAAGAUUAAAACUCGAAAAUUGACAGGGACCCGCACAAGCGGUGGAUGAUGUGGAUCAAUUCCGAUGCAACGCGAAAAACCUUACCACCUGCCCUUGACAUGUCUAGGUCGAAGAGAUUUGGGAGUGCUCGCAAGAGAACCGGAACACAGGUGCUGCGCAUGGCUGUCGUCAGCUCGUGUCGUGAGAUGUUGGUUAAGUCCCGCAACGAGCGCAACACUAUUGUUAGUUGCUACGAGCACUCUAAUGAGACUGCCGGUGACAAACCGGAGGAAGGUGGGGAUGACGUCAAAUCUCAUGGCCCUUAUGGGUAGGGCUUCACCGUCGUACAAUGGUCGGGACAGAGGGUCGCCAACCCGCGAGAGAACCAAUCCAGAAACCCGAUCGUAGUCCGGAUCGCAGUCUGCAACUCGACUGCGUGAAGUCGGAAUCGCUAGUAAUCGCGGAUCAGCAUGUCGCGGUGAAAUACGUUCCCGGGUCUUGCACACACCGCCCGUCACACCAUGAAAUUAGGUUUACCAGAAGUAGUUAGCCUAACCGUAAGGAGGGCAGUGCAGUAGGAUUCGCUGACUGGGGUGAAGUCUUCAACAAGGUAG
rnacentral:rRNA from 1 species